ACGUCAUACCCGCCACCUAACGGUGCGGAGUGGCCAUCGCGUUCUUGCGUCACCCCUUUCCCCACCCCGUCCUCCGUGUACAGGGGGCAGUUUCAGGUUUCUGGACCAGCGUUUGUCUUUACAACAACCCGUAAGGUCAGAACGGCGCUCGACCCCACUCGGUAAAGAUGAACCGUCAGAGAGGUGAAUUAGCCUGAUGGCACGCAGCUGGUAGGCAGAGCUGGGUUCAGAACCCAGGCGGUUUGGGGACCGAGCCUGCGCCAGCUGCUUCUCUACUACACGAUUCCACAUAGAGUGGUUCUUUCAAUCAACAGAUACUCAUGAAACAUGUAUCUUGAGCCAAUUACUCUGAAUUCAAAGGCCAUCUCUUUUCUCCACUAACUUACAGACUACUAAGACAGAAUCGUGGACAUAAUAUUGUAAUGAAAUGUGAUUACUACCAUAGAGGUAGGCACACAGGGUCACAGGGAAUUGAGAGCAAGAGUAACACAGGCCACGCUGUGAGAAAUGAGGGCAAGGAGAGCAUCAGAAAAGACUUCUCCAACCAACAUGAGUCAUACUUGAACUGUGUUGUAAAGGAUAAGCAAGAACUUUCUUAAAUCGUGUUCACUGCUCAUCUACAAGACCUCUGAAGUAGGGACCAGAUUUUGUUCAGAGCUGUAUUUAUAGCACCUGGCAUUUUGCCCGAGACAUUUACUGGAUGUAUGAAGGAAAGAAGGGAGGAAGGGAGGAAAAGGUGACUCUAUUUAUCUCACAGGCGUGGAGAAGGGAGAACACAGACAUCCUUUGACUUGCCUACCUCUGUUCUCUGAAAUCUGCCCAUCCAUCCAAUAGGCACUAUACUAACAGCAGUAUAUUACUUUUCUGCUGCUUGAUCCUGGCCCCUAGAUGUACCUGACUGGUCCAGGAAUCGGUGGCUGACACAAAAUGGACCAAUCAGAGUAUCUACCUUGGCCUUUGAAAAGAGAACUUUAGCCUUUCUGUAUAUAUGAGUAUAUAGCUUAUAAACUUGGGAGCUGGAAGGAGGCCACCUUCCACCACCUAAAUGGGGAGCAAAGGGAGCCAGUUAGCAAAAAGCAAAGAAAGAAGUUGAUGCCCCAAAAUAAGCAGAAAUGAGAAACAAGGAGAGACAGAGAAUUUCUACACCCUCUCAAUUCCUUGUUCCUGAGGCCCUAUUACCUCACCACCCUUGAGGUCUUUAAAUGACCCUCUCAUUUGUCUUUCCAGUGAAUUUCUCUCUCUCUCUCUCUCUCUCUCUCUCUCUCUCUCUCUCUCUCUCAUAUAAGCCAGCUUUGUUUGGUUUUGGAACUUUGGAACCAAAGUCAUUUUAUUCAAUGAUAGUGCGAUGGGCAGAUUCCAGAAAGGCUUAGAGUGAGCAAAAUCCUGAGGUCUAAAAGGCCUGGUUGUUUGAAGAUGAGGAGAAGGUGUCUGGUACCGCCUUAGGUGAGAAAGGUCUUGAGAGGCUAGAAAAAUCCCCAGGGAGUUCAAGUUCCAUCUGGUGAAGGGCGUAAAUGAAAAUUUUCCAGGGACCUGCACUGUAUAGACUUUGGGACUAACAAAGUCUAAAACUUUGGAAAGGGGCAGUAGGAACAGAGAAUACAUAUCAGCACUGAAGAGAGACUGAUACACCAAACUGGGACAACUUGUUCCUUUACCAUGAGAGGUAGUGAUCACAGGACCACAGAUACGUGGCCAGUCUUGCAGGACACCCAUGGUAUCUGACCACAGGACCACAGUGUCCUUAUGCAUACCAAAUGCAUCCCUGCAUUCCCCACACAAACCCUAAUUUUCUACCAUGCUCUUCCAGACUUUCUCAAUCACAUUAGUAGUGUUAAAGAAGCUCCUGACACAUUUUCAGCCCUGGUACUGUUAGGCAGAAUCUCAUGGCCCAAGGUACAGGAAAACAAAUAUUUCAGGAUCUUCUUUAUUUUUUCUUGCUAUGGAAACACAGUGUGGCCCCAUCUCCUAGAAACUCUGACUCAGUAUACCACACACUAAGUAGAUACAUAGGGUGGAGUUUAUUGGCAUUACAAAUAGCAUUACAAAAAUGAGCUUUCUCUGCAAAGGAUUGGGCUUCAAGAUUUCCUUAGCUUGCUUGCUUCUUUAGUGCAAUAAAAUGCUAUGUGAUUUUCCCAAACAGCACUUACACGUA